CAGAACUAUCUUUUAUUAAAAUGUGAAGAGAAUGGUUAUUCAAAGUGGAGACACUGAAGGGGUGCCAAUUUCAGAGUUGCCCUCUAUCAAACUUGGGUUUUCAGCAUUUAAUAUUUUCAAAUUACAUAGUUUUCUCUGAUAAACAUUUCUCACACACAAUGAAUCAUGGAGACUUAAAACAAAAGUUUAGUAUAAUAGAAAAGCUGCUGGGAGUUACAGGAUUAUUAAAAAAAAUCUGCUGAGCACUUGGACAUUUAAUUCUUUAAAUUUGAACUU
rnacentral:lncRNA from 1 species